rnacentral:lncRNA from 1 species
GCCCUGGUGACUUCGUGUUCAUCCUCUCUAUCGGCAAUAUCCUAUCUCCCUACCACAAAGGCCAGAAGAAGGAACUUUCAACUGACCGCGGCCCAUAGUCCUUCGGGUCACCGCGCGACAGUCCACAGUCCUUCGGGUCACUGCCACAUUACACCGUCGUGUAAUACUCAGCCAUAGGACAUGACCCCGUUCGUCUGAGUCUUCCCAAUCCAGCGAAUAAGGGGUUUCCUUGAACCCGCUGGG